rnacentral:rRNA from 1 species
AUGUCUUCGCCGAGCAGAGUGGGAGGAGGAGUUCAGGUAGGUGAUUGCAGUGCUCAUAAUGAUACACGAAUUGGCUCUCGUUGUCCUGGUGGUAAGGAUCAUGGUGGCAAGGGAGGACAUCAAGUGAAUUUGCCGAUUGAAUGUUCUCCCACAAGUGUGUCCCCUCCUUCUGUGUCUGUUUUCCAUGCUGGGGCGCCUGGGUUUGAGGAGUCUGUUGAUGGUACAGAGGAAGUUACACAGGAAUGGAUGGCCUCGGAACAACUUCGUGAAUAUGAGUUGAAGCAAAGCAAGAAGAAGUUGAGGUUUGAAAGUGACUCAAAAGAGUUUGCGGAGAAGGAGAAGCAGAGGAGAGCUGCAGAUGGUGCCAAGGGUGCCAAAUUUGCCAAGAAUCUUGGCAAGAGAACUGCUGAAGCUGGUGGAAAGGAUGAUCCUCAGCGCAAGCGACUACAUGUCACUGAAGGUCCCAACGCUGAUGAUGAUGACUUUGUGCUUGCUGAUUUUGUGAGGGAUGUCCAUAGUGGUAGACGCAAAGACUGUGGUUCAUCUAAGAGUCUACCCAAGCGCGCCCGUGAUGAUGUCGAUGAAGAUGUUAGUGGUGACUCUGGCGAGGAGGUGGAUGUUGUUCCAAAGAGGAAGAAGUCUAGGGUUCUUCGAAUCAAUCGUGAUGCAGUUCAUCACAUUUUUGAUUUACCCAUGGGACGUCACACUGCACCCAUGCCUGCUGCCAGCGGCCAUGAUGACUCGUUGACUGCCCUCAAGGAUGAGCUUGGCUUUGACCGUUCAAAAAUUAUAGGUGUCAAGGACUUGCUUGAGAAGUUGAAGGUGUUGGUGGAGGAAGAUGAUCAUGUGACUGUUGACCUUGCUGUGAAGGUGUUCUUCCUUAUACUUUACCAGAAUUUGUUGUGCCCCGGGCCUGCAGUUCGUUUGGGUACAGUUGUUGCAAUGGUAGAGAACAUGGAUUAUGCGGCUAUGGCUCAGAUGGACUUUUGCCAGCUUGUUGUUGAUGAGUUGCAGGCAGCUGUGGUGAGGUGGCAAACAGAAGGCAGCAAGCAGAAUUAUGCAGAGGGUUGUGCCAUUGCCCCCCUGAUUAUGUAUAUUGACUGCUUGAAGCUUCGGAAAUUUUUAGUCAUGCACACGUUGACGCCACGUGCGUCAUACCUGACGACCAAGGACCUGAUGAAGUUAUACAAUGAGGAUGUGCUUGUGAAGGGAAAGAUUUUCUUGGAAACUUACAAAUUUGGGAAGCUGCCGUGGAAGGCGUCAGGUGAUAUUGUGUACAACCGUCCUGUUGCAGUUGUAUGCGGCAGCUCUGAUGCGGGGCCUAGCACUCAUGCUAGGUUUUAUGAGCCUAUCUAUAGCCAGCUUCCUGCCUGUGAUGACGAGGCUGGAGUGGAAUCUUCUGGUGUCCAUGGAACUAGGGAUGAUGGAAUUGGUCAGACUGGUGUUGCUGCUUGUGAUGUGCACAAAGAGUCCUACGAUGGCUCUGGGAAGGAUGAGGUCUUGGUUGAUGCAUCGUCCCCUCCGGAUGUUGUAGCUGAUAAGCCCGGAGAAGAAAACGUGGAAGUUCACGUUGAUCUGAAUCAGGGCGGUUGUGCUGUUGAUGGUGGUGGUAGUGUUGAUGCUUCUGCAUCAGUUGCCGUCGACUGUGCAGGCCCUUCUGUAGCUCAAGAAUCCCAUGAUGCUGUUUCCCCUAGUCGGCAUGAAGAUUCUGAUUUUGGCAUUGGAAAGCCGCUGGAGAAUGUCGUCCCUGAUGUUAGUGUUGUUGCUUCCCCUAUUUGUCUGGUGGCCAACGAUGUUCCUGAAGUAUCAAGAAUGGAGCCUCAUGUAGCUGAAGUAUCUAAGGACGUUGCGGUUGAGCAGACUGUUGUAAAUCCAGAGAAUGCUGAUGUUGCUGCAGAAGGGCAGUCCAAUGACGAACUUCCUGUUGUGACACCGUCGAGCAUUGAUCCAGCUCUUCUGAAAAGAUACAAUGAGUUGUACGCUGCUGUUACGAGGGUUCGGAAGGACAAGAAGAAGAAGCAUGAUUGUGGAUUCUACAUGUUUCAAUUCUUGCAAACUUGGGAUGGUGUCCGAGUUGCUCAGUUUGGGGUGGAGCACAUUGGCUACAUCAAAAAGGCCAUGCUCUAUAGUUGGCUCACAUCGAAAAAGUGUUCCCUUGAUUUAACAUCACUUUUAAUUUUUGCAGAUAAAGGUUUUGAUGGGGGGCUUCAUGAAGGCUAUACGUCACUGUUCGAGUCCCAGGGUUCUGAGGUGGUUAUGGAGGAUUGUGCCAUUGAAAUGUCUCCAGAUAAUUCUUGUUCUUUGGCUGGAGAUGGUUUGAACACAGUUGUGGCGUCUCAACCUGAUGGUGGAAGUGUUUCUAGACCUAGCUCUCCACGCGAUGUAUUUGAUGAUGAUGAUUUUGUUACGCUGUGUCCUCGCGUCACUAGGACUAGGAGUGCAGCAAUUAAUCGUCCUACUGUGGAUGACGUUGAAAUAUUUUCGAACAAGAGGGAAGGUGAGAGGGCUUUUAAGUUGAGAUGCUCUAUAGAGAAAUUGAAGCCUCCGAGGUUCAAAUAUAUUGAUGAGGCGAGGAAAAUAAAGGAUCUUGUUCUCAGCAAAGAUUUUGUAACCAAAUACCACGAGAAUGCGUUCUUUAUGGUGAAUAGUCCUUUUGGUGAUCUUGAUACUUACACUGUUGACUAUAUCUAUAAUACAUUUGGCAAAGGAGCUUUAAUGGAUUCGUAUCUCAUCGAUUUUGUCAUCAAGUACUAG